rnacentral:rRNA from 1 species
GUGGGGAAUUUUGGACAAUGGGCGAAAGCCUGAUCCAGCCAUGCCGCGUGAGUGAAGAAGGCCUUCGGGUUGUAAAGCUCUUUCGGCGGGGACGAAAUUGCGCGGGGUAACAUCCCGCGUAGAUGACGGUACCCGAAGAAGAAGGACCGGCUAACUACGUGCCAGCAGCCGCGGUAAUACGUAGGGUCCAAGCGUUAAUCGGAAUUACUGGGCGUAAAGCGUGUGCAGGCGGUUUCGAAAGUCCGAUGUGAAAUCCCCGAGCUUAACUUGGGAACUGCGUUGGAAACUACGAGGCUAGAGUGCGGCAGAGGGGGGUGGAAUUCCAGGUGUAGCAGUGAAAUGCGUAGAGAUCUGGAGGAACACCGAUGGCGAAGGCAGCCCCCUGGGUUAGCACUGACGCUGAGACACGAAAGCGUGGGGAGCAAACAGGAUUAGAUACCCCUGUAGUCC